rnacentral:lncRNA from 1 species
GAUGUUGACAAGGAAGACUGAAGGCUCUUUAAAGGCAAAAGAAAUUGUGUCAAGGAAUUCUGCCUGUUUCAUCACAGUAGUGGCAUUGCAGAAUGGAGAUUUAAGAGAAAAUCUUGGAAAAAGCAACAAAACUAUGUGGACCCAGCUGAAGGAAGAAGAUGACAGUAGUUAUAUCCAGCUAAGGAAAAAUCUGUGAACCAUGCUGCCUGUGUGUAUGGCCAGUAUCUGCACACUAAAGCUGCUCUUCAAUUUUCACUGAAUUUGCUAUUUUGCAAAGCAAGUUCCUAGAAUACACUUGAAUAGAUGUGGAAAACAAAACCAGACCCCACAGGGUCAUACAAGGUAAAGUUAAUGGAUUUUUCUCUCAGAUAUUUGCACUAUUUUACUUCUUUUGCUCUAAUUUAUUUUUGAUUUUCUCUCUCUUUCUGGGCCUUGAACUUCACUUACUCAGUAUGGAGGUUACAACUUCUUGAUAAAUCCAAUUAAUUUGUGAACAGUUGGCAUCUACAGAACACACACUACAUCUUUAUAUAAAACCUCUUUUAAAAUAGUUGUUAUCGUUGUAUAUGUAGCAACAGCCAGUGUCUGAAGGUGAAUUUUUUGGUAGGACCAUUGUGCACAAACAGAAAUAAGAUCUAUUAGAAUUACAUUUCCAUUCAUUUUAACUUUUUUAAAAAUGAAAAAUAUCCAAUAGAUUAAUACCAAUUCCACAUGUUUGUCUAAGCCAAGUAAGCCAUCAGAUUUCUGAAUUACUGAAAACUAGUUAAUUUAUUUUAAACUCAUACUACUUUUAGUUAUAUGAUUCCAGAUUAAUCUGAGGGAAGAGACUCUGGAAAAAAGGACUCACAUGAUUUCGGAUAAGCGAUGACAAGUGGCCAAGAAUGUUUGCUGUAGAUAUAAAGACAUCUGCUUGUAGAGGACAGUAGAUCAUAGAUAACAUGUAUACAGUUCAACUUAGAAUUCAACUAUUAGGGAGCAUUUGAAGCCAAUGAGUUUUUAUAUGAAACAAAGAAGGAACCAGUAAAGUCCUGGUUUU